UCCUCAAUGGUCUAGUGGCUAUGAUUUCCGCUUGUCAUCCUUCAUAGGAUCAAGCCGCGGGAGACCAGGGUUCGAUUCCCUGUUGGGGAG
rnacentral:tRNA from 1 species